rnacentral:rRNA from 1 species
UUCCCUUCGGGGAGCGAGUAGAGUGGCGCACGGGUGAGUAACACGUAGGUAAUCUACCUUUGGAUUGGGAAUAACCACCGGAAACGGUGGCUAAUACCGAAUAAUGCAGCGGCACCUAAUGGUGACAGUUGUUAAAGCGGGGGAUCGCAAGACCUCGCGUCUGAAGAGGAGCCUGCGGCAGAUUAGCUAGUUGGUAAGGUAACGGCUUACCAAGGCGAUGAUCUGUAGCCGGCCUGAGAGGGCGGUCGGCCACACUGACACUGACAUACGGGUCAGACUCCUACGGGAGGCAGCAGUCGGGAAUUUUGGGCAAUGGGCGAAAGCCUGACCCAGCAACGCCGCGUGAAGGAUGAAAUCCUUCGGGAUGUAAACUUCGCAAGAACGGGAAGAAUAAGUAAGGGUUAAUAUCUCUUACGAUGACGGUACUGUUUGUAAGCUCCGGCUAACUCCGUGCCAGCAGCCGCGGUAAUACGGGGGGAGCAAGCGUUGUUCGGAUUUACUGGGCGUAAAGGGCGCGUAGGCGGCCACCGCAAGUCGACUGUGAAAUCUCCGGGCUUAACCCGGAAAGGUCAGCCGAUACUGCGGGGCUAGAGUGCAGAAGGGGCAACUGGAAUUCUCGGUGUAGCGGUGAAAUGCGUAGAUAUCGAGAGGAACACCUGCGGCGAAGGCGGGUUGCUGGGCUGACACUGACGCUGAUGCGCGAAAGCUAGGGGAGCGAACGGGAUUAGAUACCCCGGUAGUCCUAGCCUUAAACGAUGAAUGCUUGGUGUCUGGGGUUUUAUAGUCCCCGGGUGCCGUCGCUAACGCUUUAAGCA